rnacentral:rRNA from 1 species
GGAGGCGAACCGGGGGAACUGAAACAUCUCAGUACCCCGAGGAAAAGAAAUCAACCGAGAUUCCCCCAGUAGCGGCGAGCGGACGGGGAGCAGCCCAGAGUCAGCAUCAAUAUUUACCGCAGGAGAAGGGUCUGGAAAGGCCGGCAAUAAAGGGUGAUAGCCCCGUAUCUGAAGCGGUAAGUGUUGUGAACUCGAAGAGUAGGGCGGGACACGUGUUAUCCUGUCUGAAUAUGGGGGGACCAUCCUCCAAGGCUAAAUACUCCUGACUGACCGAUAGUGAACCAGUACCGUGAGGGAAAGGCGAAAAGAACCCCGGCGAGGGGAGUGAAAUAGAACCUGAAACCGUGUACGUACAAGCAGUGGGAGCUCCCGAAAGGGAGUGACUGCGUACCUUUUGUAUAAUGGGUCAGCGACUUAUAUUCUGUAGCAAGGUUAACCGCAUAGGGGAGCCGUAGGGAAACCGAGUCUUAACUGGGCGUUAAGUUGUAGGGUAUAGACCCGAAACCCGGUGAUCUAGCCAUGGGCAGGUUGAAA